AUGCCCACACAAAAGGUCCCAGCUGCACCGCAAGCUUCUGUCCCACUGUCCCCAGCUCAGAGUGAAGCAGAAACUCGAAGCAGACGGUGCUCCCCAAAAGCAGUGCCCCAAAAGAUGCUGGGGCAGGCGCCAUGGGCAAGGCUGUCUCCUUCUGUCCCUGCCGUCCUGCUGCUGGCACUCUGUGGCAGCAUGACCUCCCAGGACAUCUGCAGCUCCUCAGGGGAUCUCCUGGCUCCUGCUCUCCAAAUGAACUCAAGUUCUGCUCAGCCAGGUACCACAGUUUUGCUCCAGUGUAUUCUCCCUGUGGUGUCAUCCGUAAUAAGAAUCAUCAUCUGCAAGGAUGGCAAGCAGCUGUACAGCGAGAAAGCCCAUCAAGAGCAGCUGAGCUACUCUGUGGUCUUGAACAUCACGUCAAGAAGCGCAGGAAGAUAUACAUGUGGGUACCAGCAGAGGAAUGAGAUGAAACAGAGGAGGAGCUCUGCCCUCAGUGCUGGCCGCAUCCUGAAUGUCCCAGGCAAUGUGGCGAGUUCCCCAGCAAGUCCAUCACCCCCAGCUCCCCAUGCCCGGAUCCUACACACCCUCCCCAUAGGCAUGGUGGUAGCAGUGGCAGCCGUCGGCCUCAUCCUCCUGGCUGCAGGCAGCUGGUUUGCCAUCAGGAAAGGUGCCUGCAGAGGGAGAUGCCCAAGGCAACAGCACGUUGACAGCCCACAGAUGGAAACAACUGACUCUGGAGAAGUCACAUGUGAGUACUACCUCCUCCCACAUGGGAAGCCACAUGCCCAUCUCACCAUGGGCAUCCAGUGCAACUGUACAUGCAAUCCCACCCCUUCAUUUCCCACUGGGAAAUACAAAAUCCCUGCCCGUUCAUCAAGAGCAAGUUUCUCUCCAGCACCUCACAUCCUCCUUCUUCCUUGCAUGCAGAGUGUGCGAGGCUGCUGGCUACACAAGGGACAUGGAAGCAUCCCAGUGCUCCCAG
rnacentral:lncRNA from 1 species